rnacentral:lncRNA from 12 species
UUUGGACUCAGACCGGCUCCAGUCUCAGAAAUCUGCAGGCAGAGACCCAGUGAAGGCUUUUCCUGUUCCCCUGGCAUCUGCCCCAGGGGCCAGUCAACGCAUUUUGGAAAGAAAGUCCAAUUCUUCAGACACGGCCGAUGAGGAAGCGCUGUGAUGGCCCCAGGGACAUUUGUCCUGCCCCUGGGCAUGGCUGUGCAGUCAGCUCGGUGGAUCUUCGCAGCACCCGCUGUCACCUGCGGGGCUAAGCCUGGCCCAGAGGAGGAGGGGAGCUCCGGGGUGCCAAGCACCGUGGCUGGGCACUCCUGAUGGGUCAGGGGGUGCGUUGCCUUCUUCGUGGAGUGGCCAGACUUAACAUAUCAAAGAUGACCUCAGUGAAAGUUGAAUUUCAGAUAAAAAAGAAUACUUUUGCAGUAUAUUUAUGUCUCAAAUACUGUGUGGGAUAAACUUAGAGCUAAACGUAUUCUUUGCUCAUUUUCUGUCCGAGUGUUACCGUGUGUCCUGUGUUGCAGCCGAUGAUCCUGCUCCUCUGUCUGCGUUGCUGUCCGGUCAGCAGCUCGAUGGCUCCUGCACUAUGCUCAUGCCAGGCCCGCAGUGUGGCGCCUGCUUCUCGCUGAAGUCAUGGGCCAGCCCGGGAACGGGGCGGACCCUGGACCUCCAGGGCUGCGGACGUGGGGGCGGAAGACGCCCUCCCAGCAUGAUGUGCAGCCGACCCCUGCCCCACGGCCUCCCGCUCCGAGGGCCUGGGCGUACCGGUCGAGGCUGGGUCCUUCCCCGUCCACUCGGCGUCCGGCGCCGGCCGCUUCCCUGGGCAGGAAAAGUCACCCUGAGAGAGAAGCCCCGGGCCCCGCACGGCCCGAGCCCGGCGUCCUGGCCUCGCCUGGCUUCCGUCCACCCUCCCGGAUCCUGGCUUUCUCGGCGCCCGGAGCAAGCGUUUCUGCUCAAACAACUCCCCAACCUGCUUCUUUUUUCUUUUUUUUAAUUUUUUAAAAGUUUUUAUUUAUUUAUUCAUGAGAGACACACAGGGGGGGGGGGGGACAGAGACCCAGGCCGAGGGGGAAGCAGGCUCCAUGCAGGGAGCCCGACGUGGGACUCGAACCCAAGACCCCAGGAUCGCGCCCUGGGCUGCAGGCGGCGCUAACCGAAGAGGCCCCCGGGCUGCCCCCCAACCUGCUUCUUAAAAUGAAAUCACCUUCGUGUCACUUGAACCCCACAGUGCUGAUGGCUGGAGGGGGAGGUCAGCGUGCGCGUAGGCGCCGUGGUGUGUGUUUGCCAGGACACAGAUCCAUAGACGUGGUAUGCAGGCCUUUUGGGGCAGGACGCCACUCGGGGUUCCUGGGGUCUCGUGCAGAGAACCGUUCCGGGCCCGGUGGGAGGAAACGCUCUCACGGAGGACCAGCUCUCCUUGGUUUUGGACGGGAGGGGAGGACCCCUUGCCCUGUUAUGGGGCAGCUGAGGACCCGCCGAGGCCCCGGCAGUGGAAAUCACCGUGAUCUCGUGUCCCCAGAGCCCACAGUCCUGGCCACCACUCUGGUCUGUCCCCACUGACCCCAUGUGAUUCCUGUCAUGUGAGAAUGAGUUUUCCACUGCCUUCACUCGGGCUUGAGGGGCAGGGACACAGGAUAGCUCGGGAGGGCCCUCCAGUCCCUGUGUGCAGCAGGCGUCUCCGUCUGAGACACCCCCCGCCCCCCGCCGCCUGGGCUCCUUGUCCUGCAGCUCUGUGCACUGGGUCCCAGGGCCCCGGGCUCCGUGUGGACACAGGACACCUGCCUGGACCAGGGGGGCCCCUGGCUAGCUCAUCUCUGAGGCUGCUGAGUCAGGCUACGCCCCGGUGGCCCGCUCAUGCUCGUGCUGGGUUAAGCUGGAAAUGCUGGCCCUUCCUGAGACAGACUCCAAUGUUGGGGUGAAGCAAGGGGGGCUCAGAGCCAAGCGCCCCUUUUGCCGCAGCAGCCGGUGGCUACCAAAGCUGACAGCUGUCCUCA